CUUCUACUCCCUCUGUUCCGAAUUACUUGUCUUAGAUUUGUCUAGAUACGGAGGUAUCUAACACUGAAAUAAGUCUAGAUACAUUCGUAUGUAGACAAAACCAAGACAAGUAAUUCGGAACGGAGGGGGUACGAU
rfam:Triticum urartu cultivar G1812 contig1242757, whole genome shotgun sequence.